rnacentral:misc_RNA from 1 species
CUGCCUUUAUCAAGAGCAAGACUUCUAUUGAAGACACAGCCCUGAUCACCCUUCACGAAAUCUGUAGCAUUUUUUGCCUCCACUCCCAUGACAUCCACUUUCACUUCUUGAGGUUCUGACACAAGUUGCUGAAUGGACUCAUCAUCAGGGUUAACUACAUUAACAAAGGUAUUGUUAAAACUCUUGACUUUUUCACUCAUCUGUUGCUUUAUCAGGACAGCAUCAACCUUCAGUUCUCCUAUAUCUGGCAAAAUGUUAUCAGCUUGAUUCAACUCAC